rnacentral:rRNA from 1 species
GAUGAACGCUGACGGCGUGCCUAAUACAUGCGAGUCGAGCGAACGGACGAGAAGCUUGCUUCUCUGAUGUUAGCGGCGGACGGGUGAGUAACACGUGGAUAACCUACCUAUAAGACUGGGAUAACUUCGGGAAACCGGAGCUAAUACCGGAUAAUAUUUUGAACCGCAUGGUUCAAAAGUGAAAGACGGUCUUGCUGUCACUUAUAGGUGGAUCCGCGCUGCAUUAGCUAGUUGGUAAGGUAACGGCUUACCAAGGCAACGAUGCAUAGCCGACCUGAGAGGGUGAUCGGCCACACUGGAACUGAGACACGGUCCAGACUCCUACGGGAGGCAGCAGUAGGGAAUCUUCCGCAAUGGGCGAAAGCCUGACGGAGCAACGCCGCGUGAGUGAUGAAGGUCUUCGGAUCGUAAAACUCUGUUAUUAGGGAAGAACAUAUGUGUAAGUAACUGUGCACAUCUUGACGGUACCUAAUCAGAAAGCCACGGCUAACUACGUG